rnacentral:rRNA from 1 species
CCUACGGGUGGCAGCAGUGAGGAAUAUUGGUCAAUGGACGCAAGUCUGAACCAGCCAUGCCGCGUGCAGGAAGACGGCUCUAUGAGUUGUAAACUGCUUUUGUACGAGGGUAAAUCCCGAUACGUGUAUCGGGUUGAAAGUAUCGUACGAAUAAGGAUCGGCUAACUCCGUGCCAGCAGCCGCGGUAAUACGGAGGAUUCAAGCGUUAUCCGGAUUUAUUGGGUUUAAAGGGUGCGUAGGCGGUUCGAUAAGUUAGAGGUGAAAUCCCGGGGCUCAACCCCGGCGAGCCGUUGAAACUGGCGGGGUGGAGUUGGAGAGAAGUACGCGGAAUGCGCGGUGUAGCGGUGAAAUGCUUAGAUAUCGCGCAGAACCCCGAUUGCGAAGGCAGCGUACCGGCUCCACACUGACGCUGAGGCACGAAAGCGUGGGUAUCGAACAGGAUUAGAUACCCUGGUAGUC